AUUGAACGCUGGCGGCAGGCCUAACACAUGCAAGUCGAGCGGAUGAAGGGAGCUUGCUCCUGGAUUCAGCGGCGGACGGGUGAGUAAUGCCUAGGAAUCUGCCUGGUAGUGGGGGAUAACGUCCGGAAACGGGCGCUAAUACCGCAUACGUCCUGAGGGAGAAAGUGGGGGAUCUUCGGACCUCACGCUAUCAGAUGAGCCUAGGUCGGAUUAGCUAGUUGGUGGGGUAAAGGCCUACCAAGGCGACGAUCCGUAACUGGUCUGAGAGGAUGAUCAGUCACAUUGGAACUGAGACACGCCCCAGACUCCACCGGGAGGCAGCGUUGGGGAUUUUGGGACAAUGGGCGAAGGCUUGUCCCACCCUUGCCGCGUGUGGGAAGAGGGUUUUGGUAUUUUAAAGCUCUUUAGGUGGGGAGGACGGCCAGUAAGUUAUUCCUUUCUUUUUUUGCCUUCCCCAAAAAAAUCGGCACCGCCUACCUCCGGC
rnacentral:rRNA from 1 species